GUGUGUGCGCGUGUGUGUUCUGUUGUGUGUGUGUUAUUUUGCAGCUUACAGCUCAUUCAAGUGCCACUGGUCUUGCAGUAUUUCAUCUUUUCCAAACAACCGAGUAAAUUUACAGCUCAUUCAAGUGCCACUGGUCUGUUUUUGGAGAAUUUCAUCUUUAAGGUGCUGUGAGAAAGAGCCAUGUCUCCCGUGCCGCCACUGAUGAUGACAUUACAAAACACGUAAUACGGUGGUUCAACUUGGCAGCAGAUAGGGGAAACUCAAGGAGCCGUCCCACUGUCAGCACCCAACAGUAGCGUUUCGGUGUUUCACAGUUAACUUCUGUGUUUUGAAGUGUUCGUUUAACAGUUAAGUAGUAACAGUUGAGAUAAAGUUUACUACUUUAAAUAGUUUUGUUUCUAUUCAUCUUCAAAAAACCCAGUUUCCACACAAAAAAAUAAGCAGUGCAACAUUAAUAAGAAUAAAUGUUUCUUGAGCUACAUUAAAAAAGUGUUCUUUUUCAUUAAAUAAAAAAUGUUCUUUGGACAAUUUAUGGUUGCAUUUCAUUUUCUGUAAUACCUAUUAAUUGUAUACAUAAAUAAUUGUUACUGGCUAAAAUGGCUGAAUUUUGAUUUACAAGUUUUGAAUGAUUUCAUCAUGUUUUAUUAAUAAAGGCAGGCAUAUUAAAUAUUAUAGAGCAAUCCAGUCUAUCCAAUGUCGGUCCAUUAGAUUUGAAAUAUUUCUUUAGCUAGUUUUGGCCAGAAUACUAGUUUUAAAUGAGGGAUCUGAAAGGUAUCCAGACAGAAUGACCAGAUCGGAUCCGUGGCGGAUCAGCUGCUUUAUAAACGGGUCCUGAUCGGAUCCGUGGCGGAUCAGCUGCUUUAUAAACGGGUCCUGAUCGGAUCCGUGGCGGAUCAGCUGCUUUAUAAACGGGUCCUGAUCGGAUCAGCUGCUUUAUCAGCG